rnacentral:rRNA from 1 species
AGCGAACGCUGGCGGCAGGCCUAACACAUGCCAGUCGAACGAACUCUUCGGAGUUAGUGGCGGACGGGUGAGUAACACGUGGGAACGUGCCUUUAGGUUCGGAAUAACUCAGGGAAACUUGUGCUAAUACCGAAUGUGCCCUUCGGGGGAAAGAUUUAUCGCCUUUAGAGCGGCCCGCGUCUGAUUAGCUAGUUGGUGAGGUAAAGGCUCACCAAGGCGACGAUCAGUAGCUGGUCUGAGAGGAUGAUCAGCCACAUUGGGACUGAGACACGGCCCAAACUCCUACGGGAGGCAGCAGUGGGGAAUCUUGCGCAAUGGGCGAAAGCCUGACACAGCCAUGCCGCGUGAAUGAUGAAGGUCUUAGGAUUGUAAAAUUCUUUCACCGGGGACGAUAAUGACGGUACCCGGAGAAGAAGCCCCGGCUAACUUCGUG